rnacentral:lncRNA from 1 species
AUAAGAACAAGUAAAUAACAAUUUCAGAUUCUUCGUAGAUUAGGGUUUUGGCUUAAAGCCUACAUUUAUAGUGCAGAGACACUAUUCUGAAAUUACAUUUCUGUCUUUAUGGAAUUCAAAUAACCAAGCCAAAAAUAAAAGACUACUUAGUAAUAAACUCCUUCAGCCAAAAAGGCUUCUUCACUUUCCAAGUUCCACCCAUAUCAUUGUAGUUUCUCAUAACAUCUAAAACUAAUCAAACCUUCUAAACCUGUUAAUAAAAAUUUUCAACUGCGGGAGAAAUCAAAAGAUUGACAGUGUUAUUUCUGGUGAAAAAGUUGUAAGGAAAUAUUUGUCAACCUAACGACGUCGACAAUAAAGUGGUCGGCGACACUGUUGGUAUGGACAUCUGGGGUCAACAAUGCAUCCAUUUCUUGCUGUAAUGUAAAACGAAAAUGGUUAAUAUGAUACUAAAAGUGAAUUGAAGAUUGUGUAUUGUAAGUAAAUAAGAAAAUUUUAAGAGGAUUAUAAGUUCUUACCAUUGACGACAAGAAAUAGUGCAAGAAAAAAUAUCAAAGCAUAAAUAAAUU